GAAUAUGAUGAGAAAUCGUUGUCGCCCCAGUCUUAUGAGCUUCGUAUUAAUACGUUGUUCGGUGGUGAUAGACACAUUCAUAAUCUGAUUC